rnacentral:rRNA from 1 species
GGGGGGGGGGGGGGGGGGGGGGGGGGGGGGCGGGGCGGGGGGGGGGGGGGGGCGGGUGUGGGGGGGGCGGGUGGCGGACGGGGGAGGGACACGUGAGUAGCCGGCCCUGGACUUUGGGAGAACUGCAGGAAACUGGGGCGAGUGCCGGAUAGGAGCUCCUGCUGCAUGGGGGGGGUUGGAAAGUUUCGGCGGUUGGGGAUGGACUCGCGGCUUAUCAGCUUGUUGGUGGGGUAGUGGCUUACCAAGGCUUUGACGGGUAGCCGGCCUGAGAGGGUGACCGGCCACAUUGGGACUGAGAUACGGCCCAGACUCCUACGGGAGGCAGCAGUGGGGAAUAUUGCACAAUGGGCGGAAGCCUGAUGCAGCAACGCCGCGUGCGGGAUGACGGCCUUCGGGUUGUAAACCGCUUUCGCCUGUGACGAAGCGUGAGUGACGGUAAUGGGUAAAGAAGCACCGGCUAACUACGUG